GAUUUCAGAGGAUAUUUAUAUGAAAAAUUUACACUUACAUGAAAAGGCACAUGUUGCCUGAGACACACAUUUGUUGUGUUAUUUGUCGUUUCUACCCUUUCUCUCCGUUAACUGUAUUUUUUCUAUAACAAGUCUAAGCUAAAUACAACUAGGUUUUCUCCUAACUGUAAAUAUUUAUUUAUAAAAAGAUUUGAACCAAUCAUCAUCAUCUCUCUCGUGGAUGGAACCACACUUUCUCUCUCUCGUUUAGCUUCAUCAAAGUGUUCCGGCAAAUGGUUUGAACCAGUCAUCAACUCGUUUAGCUCCGGCAAAAGUCUCCGUUCUUCACCACGAUGAACCUCUGGCGCCAUAAACGUCACCGCAAACCCUCAGCUACGACGAGCAACCUUUGGCGCAUCUGGAGCCAUCUGGAGCAACCUUUCGUCAAGGCCUUCCUUCCGGGUCAGCCCAUAUGAGUCGCCAAUUUCAAUCCUCCUCGAUUAUAAAUUAAAGUUGAUUCCAAAGAGAUCUCCUUUGGAAACAAGUUGAGCAAACAAAAGUUAAUUUAAUGAUAAGAUCAUAACAAGAGUCAUGGCAUCGUGGGAUCAUCUCCACUUGUAUUGUAUACCAUGUUCUAUAUUAGUUUAGUGGGCAGUUAUUUAGUUGACAUGUUCUUGUGUAUUUAAGUUACGUAUGUUUUGUUUAAUGGAAGAUGAAAAGAAAAUUAAAGUAACUUGUAUUUUGUUCUAUUUAGUUUGUUCUUUCACAAACUCUCUUAGCUUUGAGGAGGGGCCUUAAUUGGCAUCAAAGCAAACUUGUGUUCUAAGGUAUCAAAGGGGUUGAUUAAGUUCACUCCUAACAUUUAAUGAGAUGGGUUGUUUAUUGGGUUGUCAAUGAUUGUGAUGACACAUCUCUUGGAUCAGUUUCUGGGUCUAUUAACACAAGGUGAUAAUGAAGUCCGAGGAGGUCCUUGAGACCAACAAUGGUGAAGUUUCAGAGUUUUGCAUUUCUAGUCCUUAUAUUUUUACUAUUAACGAUUUUACCUCAAAAUUAUUAAAAUGUUCAGAACAAUCUUCUUGAUUUACCCCUUAACUUUUAAUUAUACACUACAAACCCUGUCAAAUGCAAAUGAAUAAAUAUAUGCAUGCAAAACUUCUAAACACAUUCUAAAAUAAUAUAAUAAGCUAAAAAAUGAUAAAACUCAUUAAAACAGUAAAAUAUCAGUCACCAACACUCUCAGAUUUUGUUUUUUUUUUGUUUCUUCUUUAAAUUGAUUAAAUUAGUCAUCCUCAUCAUUCAAUUUUAAAAAAAAUACUUUAUCCACGAAAUCAUGAACACAACUCUCUAUCGAAGGACAAAAUCAACACAAAAAAUGCUAAUUUAAUCACUGAAAUAGCAAGAUAUAUGUCCAUAAAUCUGAUAUCUACAACUCGUUUAUGACACAAAGGACUAACAUACUCAUUAAAAUAGCAAAAUAUGUCUCCACAAAUCUGAUAUCCACAACUCGUUCGUUCCGUCCAUAUCCAUAAUAUUAAUAUUUAUUAUACUAUCCAUACAUGAGCUCAUUUUUUUUUUGCUUAUUUUAGGUAUAAACUUGGCUACCUGUUAUGAGUUUACCAAGGACUAAGCAUAUCACUUCCAAAUCUACAUCUUCGUCCUUGUUUUCUCUUUAUAUAUGUCCACAUUUUGUUCGUUCAUACUUUUCAUCCAUGUCCACAUACUUAUUUUGUAUAAAAAUUAAAUAUAUAAAAUAUAUAUAUGAAAAUGGAUGUUAAAAUAUAAAGCAAAAAAUAUAAUUUAUCGUAACAAUUAUAUUUUUUUAUAUAUCUUAAAUUUUGAGAAAAACUAAUAUAAAAACAAGGGAAUAUAAAGUAGAGAAAAAGACCAGGUUUAGAGUUUAAGUUUUAGGAUUUAGAGUUGAGAAGUGAAGUUUUGGGGAUAAGAUUUCAAAUUUUGAAAAAUAAAAAAAAUUAAAUUUUUCAAAAGAUAAAAUGCUAUUUUGGUCAUUUUAGUUUUUGAGUGUUAUUUUUGUGAUAUAAACUUAGAAAUGUGUUAUUUUAGAGAUUUUCCCUAUAAAGUAAUGACCUAAAAAAAUAUCUAACUACACUAUUUUUUUUUUGUUUUCUCGUUGAAUCUAUGUAUUGCAUUUUCAAAAAGUUAAACAAACCCAAAAAUUGUCUCUUUAGGCUAAACCAACGUUAAAUUUAUUUGUAUAUAUUAUCGAUCAUUUUUUAAUAUAUUUAAUUAUUUAUUUAUACAUAUACAAUAUUUUUUGUUGUUAUUAUAUAACUUCUUUCCGAUGGACGGAGCUAGGAGGGUUCAAUCCGUAAAAUCAAACCAAUUAAAACCGAACCAAACCGAAAUAGAGAAAGUAGUUUGGAGUUGGUAAUACCAAAUAUACCGAAUGGAUGUCAUUUUUGAAAACCGCGGUAUAUGAUAUGGUUUGGUAUAUAAACCGGUCAAACCGAAUAAACCGAUCAUUUAAAAUAUAGUAGUAUAAUUAUAUGUAAAGUUUAUAAUAUAAUUAAGAAUAUAUACAUAAUUUAUUUUAUUAAUUUGAUUUUUAUAUUGAUACGUUGUUUUUAGUAACUUAAUAUUUUGUUUCAAGUUUAAAGUUAUGUUUUAUUUUUAUCAAAUUAAAUAAAACAUAACGUUUACCCUCAUGUUAACAAAAAUGAGUGUUUAGAUUUAGUUAUUUAUAAUAUUAUGGAUUAAUAAUUUCUAUUAUGUAAAAACUAUUAUAAUUAUUAACUUAAUAUGUUUACUAAAUAUUUAAAAUAGUAAAAACCGAAAUAUCUUCAUGUUAUAUAAAAACUAAUAUCUAAUAAUAUAAAUAAAAUCCAUAAAGUACUUUUUUUUAAACAAAUUUAUGGUAUUUUGAUAUAAAACUGAAUAAACCGAAAACCGACGGUAUAUAAACCAAACUAAACCAAAGUAAAUAUGGUUUUAAUAUGAUAGUUAUUUUUCAUAAACCAAUAUCGAAAAACCAAAAAAAUUGAACCGAAACAGAACCGAUAUCCGGAUUGAACACCCCUAGAUGGACCAGAUCAUAUUUUUUUUAAAGAUGGUGGAACUAAACUAUGAUUAAUAUAUUAUGGGUUGAUCAGAUUGGACAUUAAACAAAUUAUGACAUAAAAACUUUAUUUUUUUUCACCGAACACAUUUUUGAAAAAAUUGAACACUAUUGUUUCCACAUUUGAAUUAUUUUGACAUUUAUCUUCCAUAUGGUUUUGAAAAGUUUCAGAUCAUGCAUCGAAUUAAUACAUGUUAUUUUAAUGCUUUUAGUUAAGAAAAACUUACAUUUUUGUAAUUUAAACUCGUUUUAAAAAAUUCAAAAUAUAACAUAUAAGAAAAAAAUCUAACAUAUAAAAAAAUAAAAAAUAAAUAAGGUUUCCUUAUUUUUGUAAUUUAAGGAAAUUCGAAUUCGAAUUCAACACUGGAAUUCGAAUUCUUUUGCCAUAACCAUGGAUCUCGAUCUCCACGUAUAAGCUUGAUUCUGAUUCUCUUAAUUUCGAUUGAUUCUGAUUCGAUUCCAAAGCUUAAUGCGAUUGCCUUGAUGGAUCGUUCCGAGAUCGAAUAAUCUCGAUCAACUUGUGAUAGCUUCGAUUCUGAUUGUGCUUGAUGGCGAUUGUUGUGAUUUUGAGUUUGAUUCGAAGUAACUUGCGAUAGCUGUGAUUCUGAUUGCCCGUGGAUCGUUUUCAAAUGGUUUUAAUCCUCUACUCAUGGAUCGUUUUGAUUUCGAAUUAUCUCGAUCUAGAUCUCGAGUAACUUGCGAUAGCUUAGAUUCUGAUGGCAAUUGUUCUGAUUUUGAGUUCGUUUCGAAGUUAGCUCAUGCGAAUGGCUUAUUUCAAAUGAUUUUAGUCAUGGAUCGUUUAGGUUAUGUGUGAUUCUGGCUAUACACUUGUCCUGCAUGAUAUGGAUUCUGAAAUGCCUAUUCAAUAUCUUUGUGUAUGCUUGAUUUCAAAUUGUUUAUCCUGGCUUCUCCUUGUCAUGGAUCGUGUUUAUUUCUAAUUAGCUUCUGCGUGAUUUUGCUUAUGCUUGUUGUGAUAUGGAUCCCGAGAUGCUUAUUCAAUGUGUUUGUGUAUUCUGUUUCAACAGGUGAAGCAGAUAAUCAAAAAAACGGCCUCUAAGCUUGACGUCUCAGAAUCCACUGCUGCCAUUCUACUUGUGAAGUAUGAGUGGAAUGCUGCUCAACUUUGUUCUGACCAUUCUAUUCUUAAACACUACGCCACAGAGUCUUCAACACCACAAAUUCACACUCAGUGCUCUAUUUUUGUAAAAAUCUAACAGUCGUUUGAAUUCGAAUUCUUUUGCCAUAACCAUGGAUCUCGAUCUCCAGGUAUAAGCUUGAUUCUGAUUCUCUUGAUUUCGAUUGAUUCUGAUUCGAUUCCAAAGCUUAAUGCGAUUGCCUUGAUGGAUCGUUUCGAGAUCGAAUAAUCUCGAUCAACUUGUGAUAGCUUCGAUUCUGAUUGUGCUUGAUGGCGAUUGUUGUGAUUUUGAGUUCUAUUCGAAGUAACUUGCGAUAGCUGUGAUUCUGAUUGCCCGUGGAUCGUUUUCAAAUGGUUUUACUCCUCUAUUCAUGGAUCGUUUUGAUUUCGAAUUAUCUCGAUCUAGAUCUCGAGUAACUUGUGAUAGCUUAGAUUCUGAUGGCAAUUGUUCUGAUUUUGAGUUCGAUUCGAAGUUAGCUCAUGCGAAUGGCUUAUUUCAAAUGAUUUUAGUCAUGGAUCGUUUAGGUUAUGUGUGAUUCUGGCUAUACACUUGUCCUGCAUGAUAUGGAUUCCGAAAUGCCUAUUCAAUAUCUUUGUGUAUGCUUGAUUUCAAAUUGUUUAUCCUGGCUUCUCCUUGUCAUGGAUCGUGUUUAUUUCUAAUUAGCUUCUGCAUGAUUUUGCUUAUGCUUGUUGUGAUAUAGAUCCCGAGAUGCUUAUUCAAUGUGUUUGUGUAUUCAGUUUCAACAGGUGAAGCAGAUAAUCAAAAAAAUUGCCUCUGAGCUUGACGUCUCAGAAUCCACUGCUGCCAUUCUACCUGUGAAGUAUGAGUGGAAUGCUGCUCAACUUCGUUCUGACCAUUCCAUUUUUAAACACUGCGCCACAGAGUCUUCAACACCACAAAUUCACACUCAGUGCUCUAUUUUUGUAAAAAUCUAACAGUCGCUUGAAUUCGAAUUCUUUUGCCAUAACCAUGGAUCUCGAUCUCCAGGUAUAAGCUUGAUUUCGAUUCUCUUGAUUUCGAUUGAUUCUGAUUCUAUUCCAAAGCUUAAUGCGAUUUCCUUGAUGGAUCGUUCUGAGAUCGAAUAAUCUCGAUCAACUUGUGAUAGCUUCGAUUCUGAUUGUGCUUGAUGGCGAUUGUUGUGAUUUUGAGUUCUAUUCGAAGUAACUUGCGAUAGCUGUGAUUCUGAUUGCCCGUGGAUCGUUUUCAAAUUGUUUUACUCCUCUAUUCAUGGAUCGUUUUGAUUUCGAAUUAUCUCGAUCUAGAUCUCGAGUAACUUGUGAUAGCUUAGAUUCUGAUGGCAAUUGUUCUGAUUUUGAGUUCGAUUCGAAGUUAGCUCAUGCGAAUGGCUUAUUUCAAAUGAUUUUAGUCAUGGAUCGUUUAGGUUAUGUGUGAUUCUGGCUAUACACUUGUCCUGCAUGAUAUGGAUUCCGAAAUGCCUAUUCAAUAUCUUUGUGUAUGCUUGAUUUCAAAUUGUUUAUCCUGGCUUCUCCUUGUCAUGGAUCGUGUUUAUUUCUAAUUAGCUUCUGCGUGAUUUUGCUUAUGCUUGUUGUGAUAUGGAUCCCGAGAUGCUUAUUCAAUGUGUUUGUGCAUUCAGUUUCAACAGGUGAAGCAGAUAAUCAAAACAAUUGCCUCUGAGCUUGACGUCUCAGAAUCCACUGCUGCCAUUCUACUUGUGAAGUAUGAGUGGAAUGCUGCUCAACUUCGUUCUGACCAUUCCAUUCUUAAACACUGCGCCACAGAGUCUUCAACACCACAAAUUCACACUCAGUGCUCUAUUUUUGUAAAAAUCUAACAGUCGCUUGAAUUCGAAUUCUUUUGCCAUAACCAUGGAUCUCGAUCUCCAGGUACAAGCUUGAUUCUGAUUCUCUUGAUUUCGAUUGAUUCUGAUUCGAUUCCAAAGCUUAAUGCGAUUGCCUUGAUGGAUCAUUCCGAGAUCGAAUAAUCUCGAUCAACUUGUGAUAGCUUCGAUUCUGAUUGUGCUUGAUGGCGAUUGUUGUGAUUUUGAGUUCGAUUCGAAGUAACUUGCGAUAGCUGUGAUUCUGAUUGCCCGUGGAUCGUUUUCAAAUGGUUUUACUCCUCUAUUCAUGGAUCGUUUUGAUUUCAAAUUAUCUCGAUCUAGAUCUCGAGUAACUUGCGAUAGCUUAGAUUCUGAUGGCAAUUGUUCUGAUUUUGAGUUCGAUUCGAAGUUAGCUCAUGCGAAUGGCUUAUUUCAAAUGAUUUUAGUCAUGGAUCGUUUAGGUUAUGUGUGAUUCUGGCUAUACACUUGUCCUGCAUGAUAUGGAUUCCGAAAUGCCUAUUCAAUAUCUUUGUGUAUGCUUGAUUUCAAAUUGUUUAUCCUGGCUUCUCCUUGUCAUGGAUCGUGUUUAUUUCUAAUUAGCUUCUGCGUGAUUUUUCUUAUGCUUGUUAUGAUAUGGAUCCCGAGAUGCUUAUUCAAUGUGUUUGUGUAUUCAGUUUCAACACGUGAAGCAGAUAAUCAAAAAAACGGCCUCUGAGCUUGACGUCUCAGAAUCCAUCGCUGCCAUUCUACUUGUGAAGUAUGAGUGGAAUGCUGCUCAACUUUGUUCUGACCAUUCCAUUUUUAAACACUGCGCCACAGAGUCUUCAACACCAGAAAUUCACACUCAGUGCUUUCUUUGUAGUAUCUUCCUGCCAUGUUCCUUUAUCGGCUGUGGACAUUGCUUUUGUGUUGAUUGUCUCAGAGGUAUCAUCAUUCUUUACACAAUUGUUUAAUUCAGUUUUGUACAAUCUAGUUAACAUUUCUAUCUCUGUUUUUCAGCUUCAGUGGAGCAACAGUUGGCAUCAAAUAAGUUUAUUCUCAGCUGUCCUUCUCAAGCUUGCCACAAGUAUCUCAACUUCAACAUGUUACCUCAAGAUCUACUAGAGUUGCAUCUCUCUGCCUUGGAGAUUGAUCUAGCCAAGAAGACUUCUUUACGUGGACAAUGUAAGUUUCUUUUGAAUAUUCAUGUCUCUAUUUGAUUAUUGAUGUCUAUUUGUCUGUUUCAGGUCUUUCAUACUUGUGCAACCACAAGUAUGCCCUCGCCACCACUUUCUGCUCCUUGGGAUACGCUGUCUACCUAGCUUUCUCCUGGAGGAAGGAAAUUGGUGCUGGAAUGAAGGUUAUUAGUGUUGGAUCAGAAGUGAAGAGCAAAGUUACUUCUUUGAAGAAAUUUGUGGCUUCUGGAUCUAAAACUGUCGCUGGUUUCUUCUUUGCUUAGUGUGCUUUGUGCUAAAGAUUUCUGGCUAAACAAAACUUGGUUUCUUCUCUGCUUAGUGUGCUUUGUGCUAAAGAUUUCUGGUUUAACAAAACUUUAUUCAAGUCAUAUGGUUGGUUCAGGGCAUUUUAAUAUUUUCCACGGCUCAUAAUCUGCUUAGUGUGCUUUGUAAUAACUUUUGUAAACUUUUUUGAAGUCAGAUGUUUGAUCCAGAUGUUACAGUUGAUAUUCUUUUAUAUUUCACUGAUGAGUGUAUCAAAACUUGAGUAGUUUUCAGGAAGGUAGCUGCUUGUGACAGAGUUUACCUUUAGAAAACUAUUACCCUCCUCUUUGUUUAAAACCGUCCCCAUAAAGACCACAACAAUCAGAGGUCUACAAUGAUUAAACCCUGCAACAGACUGUGAAAAUGCACCAAAACAUGCCACGGAAGGAUGAAUGUUAAGAGUAAGGCAAAGAAUCCGUUGAGAAGUGAUUCCCUGAGAAAGGCCUGCAAAUGAAAGAAUUAAAGUCAGUGAGAAGAAGAACAAAAAGGUAAGAAGAAGCAAGGUGAUAAGCAAAAUAGAAAGAAGAAGUUUCAAGUCAACACUAAAGCUGAAGAUGAACGUGGACCAGUCUUUAGUUAGUAAAGUUAAGGUAUUAACUAGUUAGCUAGUUGUUAUUAACUAAGUUAAGAGUUGCUGCAUGAAGUUGGUAAGAGUCGUUAGAAUACUAAAGUUUGGAUUGUAAGAUUAGUCUAAAGACUAGAAGUAUGGAGUAGGUUUAAGUGAGAAAGGAAGCAUGAUUAGAGUCAGUAAGGAGUCUACUUACUAUAAAAGUCAAGUGUGAUCGGUUGUGAGAUGGUCUGAAAGAAUGACUGAAAAAUCAGUUUGGUAAAACAAAGUCUUGCAUAAACAAAACAGAGAAAAACAGAGGAAAAGAGUGAGAGAUUAAGAGAGAAACAAAUCAGAGAAGGAGACAAAGUGAAAGAACAAACCUG